UUUAAACUGUUUUUGUUACUAAAAUGACUAAAUCUUGUUGUGAAUGCUCUUUUUAAAGCUAAAAAAUUGAGAGUGCAUCUCUAGAGGAAACAAAAGCCAUUGCUAACCUAUACUAAUAGAUUAUAUGCAUUGCAUGCAUAUCUCGUGGUGGGUUUGCUAUUUUUAGGCCUAGCGGAAUUGGUGGCUGUGUAUUUUGAUGGGCCUACUGAAGGUCUUUGUUAAUUGUAGUCAAGGCGACUUGAUGUAUUUGGGGUUUUAAGGCGAAAAUUGAUUAUCUUAUUGAUAGUGGUAAGUAGAAGAGUGAUGCUAAUGGUAAACUUAGAUGAGAACUAGUAAAAAUUU